GCCAGCAGCCAUAUCAGUUUGCAACUGGCAACACACUGAAGCUAAGCAGGUGUGAGCCUGGCCAGUAACUGGAUGGGAGGCCUCCUGGGAAAAACUAAGGUUGGUGCUGGAA
rnacentral:rRNA from 1 species